rnacentral:rRNA from 1 species
CUCUUCACCCGUGUCUACCAAACUCACGUUGCUUUGGCGGGCCGUCGAACGUUUUCGCGGGAGGCCCCACACAAGCCUCCUCGUGCCCGCCGAAGGCCUCAAUAAAUUCUGUUAUCAGUGUCGUCCGAGUCAACGCAAUAGUUAAAACUUUCAACAACGGAUCUCUUGGUUCCGGCAUCGAUGAAGAACGCAGCGAAAUGCGAAAAGUAAUGUGAAUUGCAGAAUUCCGUGAAUCAUCGAAUCUUUGAACGCACAUUGCGCCCUUUGGCAUUCCGAAGGGCAUGCCUGUCCGAGCGUCAUUGCACCCCUCAAGCACUGCUUGGUAUUGGGCGUCGCCCCCGUGGCGGGCCUGGAUUUCAGUGGCGGUCCGGCGAGACUUCAAGCGUAGCAAGAUUUUCACAUCCCGCUUUGGAAGCCUUCUCGCCGUGCGCCGGCCAGACAACCCCCUUAACAUACCCAUGAUUGACCUCAGAUCAGGUAGGGAUACCCGCUGAACUUAAGCAUAUCAAUA